GGAUGGGCUUUGUUUUGUGGUUACUUCGUACUAUGUGAAAUUUUCGACUUUUAAUCGGCAGAUUCAAAUCUAUUCAACCACUGACGCUUACCGAUCCCUUU
rnacentral:vault_RNA from 1 species